rnacentral:lncRNA from 1 species
GACUCUGUUCCCGAAAACCCUAAAGGAGCUGUGGUUUUUUACAUGGGGGGGGGGAUCACCCUCACCCUACCCUGCAAGAUCCCAAUAAUUAAAAAUGUGGAAAAGAAUGCCCUCUAAUCACUUCAGAGUCAUAUUCUCUCCCCCUCUUCCUCUCUGCACCGAUUUUGGCCAUUUCCAGUCCUGGCUUGGCCCGUGGGAAGUGCUGGGAGCCAAAAUGUGCCCCCCUCCUGACCCCCCAGCCCAGCGAAGUUGUGCAGGACCCCCUGGAGCAGCGAGAAGGGUCCCCGAAGGGCCGGCAAGUGGGGGGGAGAACCAUCUUCCCAGAAGGAAGCCUCCAUCGCGAGCCGGCUUGGAGGAGGGUUACCAUAGAGACGGGAGGCAGCCAUCGGAGGCAGGGGCACCAAGAGGGCACAUCCGUGUUUCACGGUUGCCAUGGGGAUGGAGGGAGGAGGCGGUGGCGUGGCGGCUCCAGGAGGGAGACUGAUCCUGCUGCUGCGUCUUAGGAAGCUUGGAAUGUGAACCCAAAGGAAUGAAUGAAUGUACACAACUCAUUCCUCACUAUAUUCUGCAUUUCCCAAGAUUUUAGCUCUUUUGCAAUUCUGGUGCCCCCCCCUCCCCGAAUCCGAGCGCCAGGAUCUCAUGCCUUCUGGAGCACAGCUUUGAAGAUUAAAAUGGUGUUUUCUUCAGCACAAUCAGUUUGCAAUUGUUUUCACUGUUAGCUGUGUUCAGUUGCUGUUGGUAGCUGUUGGUGGCUAGAGGGUUUUUUUUUUUGAAGCAAAAUUAUAGCUGAUUAGAUAAUGGAACCUUUUCAGACAAAUGUGUUUUUGAGAGCUGUGAGCAUCUUGAAACUAAUUACCUACUUGGUCACCCUGUGAAUGAUUGGCAUUCAGAGCAGGAGGUCUCUACAGGCCUGCCGCUGGGUACGGGCAAAGGAUGAACGGAAGCUAAGUGGUCGUUUCUCUUCCGCCGUCUUUCCCCCCACCCACCCCUCACCCCAUGACUGGGACAACAGGACCCAUUUCGGGCUGUUGCUCCCCUUGCAAAUCCAUUUCCUGUGUCUACCGUGUAUAAAGCCUGUGGUUUAGCUCCCCUCUAAUAUGUCGGAAGAACUGAAGGCAUCCACGAAAGCUCACGCUGGAUGAAAUUCAGAAGUAAGAUGGAUAUCUGUAUUUAUUUAAAAUAUUUUUACCCCACCCUUUUCCCUAAAAAAGACCCAAGAUGGCUUACAUUAUUAAAAGAAACCAUUUAACACUAAGAAGUGAGUCAACAUGGCUAUAAGCUCCACAGUGACUUGUUACUGAAUAUUGGCCAUUAAAACGGAAUGGUAUGGUAUAUGCAUAAUGCUGGCUUGAUAGCUGAGUGGUUUAGGUACGUGGCUGUGGGGCCAGAGACUGGAGGUUCAAUUCCCCACUGUAACCCCUGGGAGAAGAGCCAGCCUGUGUAGCCUUGGCCAAACUGCAGAAACCACUCAGAGGUUGUUUCCU